UUUUUGCUGAUUUAGUUCCUGCGCCUCUGUCUUCAACAACAAUAACAACAACCUCUGUUCGCUUAUUUUCGCGCUAAACUUGGUUAAACUUCGUUGUAAUGAUCCUAAAAUCCUUCUAAAACGAUUACAAUAUCAUUCCACGUCACUGAUAAACAGUUUAUAACUUGUUCCGACGUUCCAGCUCUCAGGCUGGUGGACUUCUAAAUUAUUCGUUGCAUGCCUUUUCGCGUUUUCCUUGCAUUGGAAACUUGUGAGCCUCGAGAAUUCAAGACGGAGGUAAAAACGAGUAAUUUGGAUCUAUGGACACGGCGAUGUGACAGGUGACAAUUAAAAUUAGUUCAAAUUUUUUAAUCUAAGAAAACUGAAUACCACAAUUUGACAGUUCAAGGCAAAAAGCUUUGUGUAAAGACGUAAACAUUUGGCCAAUGCCACCAACCAAUCACUGUGCUUCUCUUAACAUUUUCCCUGAAAUGUGGCAAAACAGAAACAACAAGUUAUGAAUACCAUAAUCAUCAACGAAAAACCAAAAUGUGCAGGUACUAGAAGUGAAGAGCAUCUAAACCCGCUGUGCCAGACAGAGAAUAUUUUACUGCCUAGCAACACGGAGGUCGGUAUUCUUGAUAAAAUUUCGACUUUCGUACGCGUGGACAUAUUUGAUGUCAAUGACUGAUGCCCGACAUCACCUGUUUAAACUAGAAAAAACAUCUGCUGCGCUAUUUAGUUAAUAACAAUAAUACUGGACACAUACAGCGGCAAAUUGACAAGUAUGGACGCAGGAGAACAUGGAGCAACGCUCUAGGAAUAGAAAGCGAGAAAGUGAUCAACCUCAAGACCGUCGAGGUAAAAUAACAAAAAACACUUUACCACUUUACUUUUACCCGCCAUUGCACAACGGUCGAUUCCCAGUUGCCGACGAUGCGUCGAACUAUAAAGUCGCAAAGACGACGGAUCUGCGAAAGGAAAAAAGGUUACAA